rnacentral:rRNA from 1 species
AUUGAACGCUGGCGGCAGGCCUAACACAUGCAAGUCGAGCGAGCGGCGGACGGGUGAGUAAUGUAUGGGGAUCUGCCAGAUAGAGGGGGAUAACUACUGGAAACGGGGGCUAAUAACGCAUACUAUCGGAUGAACCCAGAUGGGAUUAGCUAGUAGGUGGGGUAAAGGCUCACCUAGUCGACGAUCUCUAGCUGGUCUGAGAGGAUGAUCAGCCACACUGGGGCUGAGUCACGGCCCAGACUCCUACGGGAGGCAGCAGUGGGGAAGAGUGCACAAUGGGCGCAGGCCUGAUGCAGCCAUGCCGCGUGUAUGCAGAAGGCCUUAGGGUUGUAAAGUACUUUCCGCGGGGAGGCGUUACCCGCAGAAGAGGCACCGGCUGACUCCGUGCCAGCCGCCGCGGUAAUAC